rnacentral:rRNA from 1 species
AUUGAACGCUGGCGGCAUGCCUUACACAUGCAAGUCGAACGGCAGCACGGGAGCAAUCCUGGUGGCGAGUGGCGAACGGGUGAGUAAUAUAUCGGAACGUGCCCGGUCGUGGGGGAUAACGUAGCGAAAGCUACGCUAAUACCGCAUACGAUCUACGGAUGAAAGCGGGGGAUCGCAAGACCUCGCGCGAUUGGAGCGGCCGAUAUCAGAUUAGGUAGUUGGUGAGGUAAAGGCUCACCAAGCCGACGAUCUGUAGCUGGUCUGAGAGGACGACCAGCCACACUGGAACUGAGACACGGUCCAGACUCCUACGGGAGGCAGCAGUGGGGAAUUUUGGACAAUGGACGCAAGUCUGAUCCAGCCAUUCCGCGUGCAGGAUGAAGGCCCUCGGGUUGUAAACUGCUUUGUACGGAACGAAAAGGUUUCUAUUAAUACUAGGAGCUCAUGACGGUACCGUAAGAAUAAGCACCGGCUAACUACGUG